rnacentral:rRNA from 1 species
GGAGUUUGAUCCUGGCUCAGGACGAACGCUGGCGGCGUGCCUAAUACAUGCAAGUAGAACGCUGAAGAGAGGAGCUUGCUCUUCUUGGAUGAGUCGCGAACGGGUGAGUAACGCGUAGGUAACCUGCCUUGUAGCGGGGGAUAACUAUUGGAAACGAUAGCUAAUACCGCAUAACAAUGGAUGACCCAUGUCAUUUAUUUGAAAGGGGCAAAUGCUCCACUACAAGAUGGACCUGCGUUGUAUUAGCUAGUAGGUGAGGUAACGGCUCACCUAGGCGACGAUACAUAGCCGACCUGAGAGGGUGAUCGGCCACACUGGGACUGAGACACGGCCCAGACUCCUACGGGAGGCAGCAGUAGGGAAUCUUCGGCAAUGGGGGCAACCCUGACCGAGCAACGCCGCGUGAGUGAAGAAGGUUUUCGGAUCGUAAAGCUCUGUUGUAAGUCAAGAACGAGUGUGAGAGUGGAAAGUUCACACUGUGACGGUAGCUUACCAGAAAGGGACGGCUAACUACGUGCCAGCAGCCGCGGUAAUACGUAGGUCCCGCGCGUUGUCCGGAUUUAUUGGGCGUAAAGCGAGCGCAGGCGGUUUGAUAAGUCUGAAGUUAAAGGCUGUGGCUCAACCAUAGUUCGCUUUGGAAACUGUCAAACUUGAGUGCAGAAGGGGAGAGUGGAAUUCCAUGUGUAGCGGUGAAAUGCGUAGAUAUAUGGAGGAACACCGGUGGCGAAAGCGGCUCUCUGGUCUGUAACUGACGCUGAGGCUCGAAAGCGUGGGGAGCGAACAGGAUUAGAUACCCUGGUAGUCCACGCCGUAAACGAUGAGUGCUAGGUGUUGGAUCCUUUCCGGGAUUCAGUGCCGCAGCUAACGCAUUAAGCACUCCGCCUGGGGAGUACGACCGCAAGGUUGAAACUCAAAGGAAUUGACGGGGGCCCGCACAAGCGGUGGAGCAUGUGGUUUAAUUCGAAGCAACGCGAAGAACCUUACCAGGUCUUGACAUCCCGAUGCUAUUUCUAGAGAUAGAAAGUUACUUCGGUACAUCGGUGACAGGUGGUGCAUGGUUGUCGUCAGCUCGUGUCGUGAGAUGUUGGGUUAAGUCCCGCAACGAGCGCAACCCCUAUUGUUAGUUGCCAUCAUUCAGUUGGGCACUCUAGCGAGACUGCCGGUAAUAAACCGGAGGAAGGUGGGGAUGACGUCAAAUCAUCAUGCCCCUUAUGACCUGGGCUACACACGUGCUACAAUGGUUGGUACAACGAGUUGCGAGUCGGUGACGGCAAGCUAAUCUCUUAAAGCCAAUCUCAGUUCGGAUUGUAGGCUGCAACUCGCCUACAUGAAGUCGGAAUCGCUAGUAAUCGCGGAUCAGCACGCCGCGGUGAAUACGUUCCCGGGCCUUGUACACACCGCCCGUCACACCACGAGGGUUUGUAACACCCGAAGUCGGUGAGGUAACCUUUUGGAGCCAGCCGCCUAAGGUGGGAUAGAUGAUUGGGGUGAAGUCGUAACAAGGUA